UGCGUAGGGUGCGAGCGUUGUCCGGAAUUACUGGGCGUAAAGAGCUCGUAGGUGGUUUGUCGCGUUGUCCGUGAAAACUCACAACUCAAUUGUGGGCGUGCGGGCGAUACGGGCAGACUGGAGUACUGCAGGGGAGACUGGAAUUCCUGGUGUAGCGGUGGAAUGCGCAGAUAUCAGGAGGAACACCGGUGGCGAAGGCGGGUCUCUGGGCAGUAACUGACGCUGAGGAGCGAAAGCGUGGGGAGCGAACAGG
rnacentral:rRNA from 1 species